GCUCCAGCCACCAAUCCACCUCCCCUUUCAGUCUGCCUGAGCCACAUCCUCUGCCACCGAGUCACCUCCACUACGAGUCUGCAUUUCUGAUCUCUGCGACUCCUUGAAGGCUUAAAUCCCUGAAUCUUAGAUUCGUGAAUCGUGAUGUUUGGUGUUUAGGGUGAGGUCGUAAACUGAUUACCCAAAAGUCCAAUACCCAAUACUGAUGCUGAGAGCUUCUGUCUGAUUGCUGGAAAUGAAGAGGCAAAAUCUCUCCAAGUCAAGUGGUGCUCUAGAUGCUAAUGGCAACGAUGCGGAUCUUAGUGUGUACAAGGGGAAAGUUCUACUUAUUGUCAAUGCUUCCAAAUGCUUGCUUCACCUAUUCUCAGUCAAUAUUGGAAGACUCAAUUGCUCCAAAUCUCUGUAAGUCAAAAUAUAAGAUCUACUUCAACUUCUUUACAGUUAAUAUUUGGCCUACUUCUACUUCUUUACAGUUAAUCUUUCUUGUUUCUCCUCCCAAGGAUAGUAGAUACUAUUUAAUUGAUUAUCUGACAAUGUCCUUUCCAGUUUCCAUCCCUACAAGAAUUGAGUCAGUAACUAGCUAGAUUUUACUUUUGUUUUUAUGGUAGUUGUAAUCCUGAUUUCUUGACACAAAUGUUAAAUUUGUUGAGAACAAUGCUUACUGUUCUUGACGCAUGUGGCUUUCCAUAAUGAAUGGAGCUACAUUAAGUGAGGAUAGUCACAGGCUGCAACAAUUAUCGGUUUGGUACUACGAUAGUAACAUCUUUAUGCCACACUAGCUUUGACUGUUUGUUUCUUUCCACUUUGAUGCCAAGACCCAAGUAUAAGGAUUUAAUCAGCUCAGACUUCUCUACGGGACACCUAUAAAUAUGUGGGAGGUCCUGAAGUCUGUGAAAGAUACUCAUUUUCAUGUUACAAUGGGAAAAUUGCAAUAGGAUUUUAUCUAUGUUCAGUGUUCUAGGGCUGCAUAUCUAUUUAAUAGAUGUUUAUGUAGCCUUCAAAAUCACAGAUAUCUAUUUAAUAUGUUGAAUGGUUACUAGUGCCUUCACUUUCAUUUUCAUAAUGGAACCCACGUCAAUGCAUCAGGGGGCUCUGUGUGUGUGU